rnacentral:lncRNA from 1 species
UGUAUUAUUUUUUUGUUCAUUGCAUUUUUUCAUAUAUAUAUAAUGUAUAUAUGUAUGUGGUAGCUAUAUGAUGAAUGGAUGUGGCUAUGUAUGUAUGAAUAUAAUGUUCAUAGCAUUUUUUUGUUUAUAUAUGUUUUUUUCAUAUAUGUGUUAAUUUUUUAUUUAGGUUGUUAGUAGAUAUUGAUUUUAGGUUAGUGCAUUUUAGGUUAGUGUAGAGGAAAAA